rnacentral:lncRNA from 1 species
GGAAAAUUGAAGCUUGUAAGCUAAGGCUGAGAAAUUAGAAGUGAUGUGGUGAUAAUGUAAUAGAAGAGGCCAUGUCCCAGGCCCAGAAAGCAGCAGAACUCAGCAACUUUGUCCAUGUGGCUCUGACUUUAGAGGUAAGAAUAGAAGGGACUACUGGGAAAAUUGAAGUUCGUUAGCUGUGGCUGAGAAAUUAGAAGUGAUGAAGAAGAGACCAGCAUCAUUGAGGUGAAAUCUUCUAGGAACUGUUUUCUGAGAGGACAAAGAAACUGUGUUCAGAGAUAGCCAGGAUUGUACCUUGUGUUGCAGCUGAACUUGGUCUCAUGUAAGAAUCACCCAGGUGGUACUGGUUUUGAAGGCAUAACAGUGUCAUGAGGAGCAGCUGAGGCUUGGACCAAUGAAGAGAGCAUAAGUGAGACUAUCAGUGAAGCCUAGUUGCAGCAGAAGAACCCAACAUAUUGAAGAUGCCAGUCCAAUGGGAUGAGCAGAAAGAACAGCCCAGUAGAGUGGAGUCAACAAGAGCUUAGAGUGAUACAGAGGUCAGAGCUAGAGAAGUGACCUUAUCUCUCUGGAGGACUGCAGAAGAUCAUGUGUGGAUCCAAGACAUUGGAACAAGAAACUGUAACACUGAGGUUACCUUCGAGACCCCAAGAUCUUUGAGAUGUCAGAGCUGUGGGGUACCUGCUCAGGAAAAACCAGCCAAAGAGAAAGAAUUGUGCUGCAG